rfam:Gossypium arboreum cultivar AKA8401 contig_10698_1, whole genome shotgun sequence.
AACCCAUGGUGAGGGCACCUUCUUAAUAGAUCAUUAUAUCUCUUCCAUGUAUCAUAAAGAGUUUCUAAAUCCAUCUACACAAAAGCAGAGAUAUCAUUCCUUAGUUU